UACAGAGGUCUCAAGCGUUGUUCGGAUUCAUUGGGCGUAAAGGGUGCGUAGGCGGCGCGGUAAGUCGGGUGUGAAAUCUCGGAGCUUAACUCCGAAACUGCAUUCGAUACUGCCGUGCUUGAGGACUGGAGGGGGGACUGGAAUUCUCGGUGUAGCAGUGAAAUGCGUAGAUAUCGAGAGGAACACCAGUGGCGAAGGCGAGUCCCUGGACAACUUCUGACGCUGAGGCACGAAAGCUAGGGGAGCAAACAGG
rnacentral:rRNA from 1 species